rnacentral:rRNA from 1 species
AUUGAACGCUGGCGGCAGGCCUAACACAUGCAAGUCGAACGAGUGGCGGACGGGUGAGUAAUGUCUGGGAAAGUGCCUGAUGGAGGGGGAUAACUACUGAAAAAGGUAGCUAAUACCGCAUACCAUCGGAUAAGACACGAUGGGAUUCGCUAGUAGGUGGGGUAAAGGCUAACCUAGGCGACGAUCCCUAGGUGGUCUGAGAGGAUGACCAGCAACACUGGACUUGAGACACGGUCCAGACUCCUACGGUAGGCAGCAGUGGGGAAUAUUGCACAAUGGGCGCAAGCCUGAUGCAGCCAUGCCGCGUGUAUGAAGAAGGCCUUCGGGUUGUAAAGUACUUUCAGCGGGGAGGCGUUACCCGCAGAAGAAGCACCGGCUAACUCCGUGCCAGCAGCCGCGGUAAUUC